GGGGACUUAGCUCAGUUGGUAGAGCGCUGUCCUUGCACGGCAGAUGUCAGCGGUUCGAACCCGCUAGUCUCCA
rnacentral:tRNA from 1 species